AUGGAAAGUAGUUUUCUACAAAAUCCUUUGCAUCUUUCAGUUCUUUAUGUUCUUUCUAUUCAACUGUCUUUUGUUAUUUGUGUGACUAGUACAUUUGUUUUACCUGAUGAUUUAACUGGGAAGUUUUAACUAUAACUGGUUUUGGACUUCUCUGUGACAGCAAAAAAGUAGGAAUUGGUGGCUUGGAGGCAAUGUUUCCAGGCCAUUAUUCUAAACAUUUUUCAUGGGAACAUCGUUCUUGUAGUUGAAGUUAAGUCCUCCUACAGCUCUGAAACUAGUGUCUCACUUUGUGAAGGGAGGGCGGGUUUCCUACAGAUUAUAGCUCAGAGCAGAAUCCACACUUUUUUCCCUGCAUGUAUGUAGGAAGUUAUGAAUCAGCAAGCAUAAAUCCAGAAUGCCUUCUUAAGACUGGCUAUUUCUCAUCCUCAUGAGUCAGUAACACCUUUUCCAUCCAGUUUGACUGUCUCCCCACCUACUCUUAUGGAAAAUAAAAAUAAUGUGAAAAAAAAAGGAAUUUAAAUGAUUUAAUUCAAAACCCCCACAGUACUCCCACACAAAGAUUGCCCUUGCCAAUUCAGACAUACAAUCACACAUGAGAAAACUCUGAAUAAGGUAAAGACUUGUAUGCUGUAGUUAGAAUAGACUAGUUGGCUACUUUGGAGAAGUCUGAUGUUGCUACAACAGCCCCAUGUGUAUUGGCUUUCUCCUUCAGCCUAUCUGUGUCUUUCUCUCCUCUAGCUCUACAGUGAGAACUUUGCCUGUUCUCAGAUUUGGAAAUUGUGACAGACAGGAUUGAGCAAAAUACAGAGAAAGAAGGCUUGAGCAAACUGGAAAAAUCAUGAAGCCACCUCCCCUAAGCUCCAGAGGCACCAUCAUCACAGAAGCUGGAGUUGUAUCAACACAGAAGCGGAAUCCAUCCAUUGGCAGUUAUGAUGAGAAGCCCAGAGAUAUUUUGGCAGCUAAUAUACAAUCAUUCUAGUCCUACCAUUUAAGGAGAAAGAAAGGCUGGGG
rnacentral:lncRNA from 1 species